rnacentral:rRNA from 1 species
UACGGAGGAUGCAAGCGUUAUCCGGAAUGAUUGGGCGUAAAGCGUCCGCAGGUGGCAAUGUAAGUCUGCUGUUAAAGAGUCUAGCUCAACUAGAUAAAAGCAGUGGAAACUACAUAGCUAGAGUACGUUCGGGGCAGAGGGAAUUCCUGGUGUAGCGGUGGAAUGCGUAGAGAUCAGGAAGAACACCGGUGGCGAAGGCGCUCUGCUAGGCCGUAACUGACACUGAGGGACGAAAGCUAGGGGAGCGAAUGGG